rnacentral:rRNA from 1 species
GACGAACGCUGGCGGCGUGCUUAACACAUGCAAGUCGAGCGGUAAGGCCCUUUCGGGGGUACACGAGCGGCGAACGGGUGAGUAACACGUGGGUGACCUGCCCUCAGCUCUGGGAUAAGCCUGGGAAACCGGGUCUAAUACUGGAUAUGACUCCAUGACGCAUGUUGUGGGGUGGAAAGCCUUGUGCGGCUGAGGAUGGGCCCGCGGCCUAUCAGCUUGUUGGUGGGGUGANGGCCUACCAAGGCGACGACGGGUAGCCGGCCUGAGAGGGCGACCGGCCACACUGGGACUGAGACACGGCCCAGACUCUUAC